rnacentral:tRNA from 1 species
AGGGAGACCUACCCUCUUGUUGAGUGCGUGCCGAUUCAGGCAUUGCAACGACGAGCAGGUCAACCAGGUCGUUCGGGUAAGAUGUGUAGAGACAAAUGGCUUUCAAACGGUCUAGGGUCAAUCAACGAGAUGGGCUAUUAGCUCAGGUGGUUAGAGCGCACCCCUGAUAAGGGUGAGGUCCCUGGUUCGAGUCCAGGAUGGCCCACCACCAACAGGCGGGGGUAUGGCUCAGUUGGUAGAGCGCCUGCUUUGCACGCAGGAUGUCAGCGGUUCGAGUCCGCUUACCUCCACUUUGACAGUGAGCCUUGAGAUGAUGACCGUACAGGUUGAAUGGAGACCAGCACCUUAUCAAGUAAAACAGCUUGAGAGCUUGCUGGAGUGAUUCCAGCCGAGAAGAACCUUGAAAACUGCAUAGCAACAAAGAAAUUUUCUGUCAGGUAGUUAAGGCAGAUUGGCAGCUUUAGAGAUAGGGCGAGUCAAUCUGCGUUGAGAAACACAGAACACCCAAAGCGCAAGAAAU